rnacentral:rRNA from 1 species
GACAUACCACACAAUUCAACACACUCAAUCUCUUCUGAAGCUAAGCAGGGUCAGAUUUGACUAGUAUUGGGAUGGGAGACCCCCAGGAACACCAAGCAUGGUAGUCU